rnacentral:tRNA from 2 species
GUAGUAGUGAGACUGCCUAUUUCGGGAGAGCGCUACACUGGCAGUGUAGAGGUCAGCGGUUAAAUCCCGCUAUGCUCCACCA